GACGAACGCUGGCGGCGUGCUUAACACAUGCAAGUCGAACGGAAAGGCCCUGCUCUUGUGGGGUGCUCGAGUGGCGAACGGGUGAGUGACACGUGAGUAACCUGCCCUUGUCUUUGGGAUACCUCCAGGAAACUGGGGCUAAUACCGGAUAUGAGCUCCUGCUGCAUGGUGUGGGUUGGAAAGUUUCGGCGGUUGGGGAUGGACUCGCGGCUUAUCAGCUUGUUGGUGGGGUAGUGGCUUACCAAGGCUUUGACGGGAAGCCGGCCUGAGAGGGUGACCGGCCACAUUGGGACUGAGAUACGGCCCAGACUCCUACGGGAGGCAGCAGUGGAGAAUAGUGCACAAUGGGCGGAAGCCUGAUGCAGCAACGCCGCGUGCGGGAUGACGGCCGUCGGGUUGUAAACCGCUUUCGCCUGUGACGAAGCGUGAGUGACGGUAAUGGGUAAAGAAGCACCGGCUAACUACGUG
rnacentral:rRNA from 1 species